rnacentral:ncRNA from 2 species
CAUCGUUCUCAGGGCGGGGUGAAACUCCCCACCGGCGGUAUCGGCCAUUCUUCCCGACAGGAAGCAUUCCGGAGCCCGCGAGCGCCUUCCGCCAAAACGGAAGGGUCAGCAGAUCCGGUGCGAUGCCGGAGCCGACGGUCAUAGUCCGGAUGGAAGAGAGCAAGC